CUACGGGAUGCACCAGUGAGGAAUUUUGCGCAAUGGGCGAAAGCCUGACGCAGCAACGCCGCGUGAGUGAUGAAGGCUUUCGGGUCGUAAAGCUCUGUCAAGUGGGAAGAAACUGCAGUAUGCUAAUAUCGUAUUGCAUUGACGGUACCACUGAAGGAAGCACCGGCUAACUCCGUGCCAGCAGCCGCGGUAAUACGGGGGGUGCAAGCGUUAUUCGGAAUCAUUGGGCGUAAAGAGCACGUAGGCGGCCUGGUAAGUCAGAUGUGAAAGCCCGGGGCUUAACCCCGGAAGUGCAUUUGAUACUGUAAGGCUUGAGUAUGGGAGAGGGAAGUGGAAUUCCUGGUGUAGAGGUGAAAUUCGUAGAUAUCAGGAGGAACACCGGUGGCGAAGGCGACUUCCUGGACCAAUACUGACGCUGAGGUGCGAAGGCGUGGGUAGCAAACAGGAUUAGAUACCCGUGUAGUC
rnacentral:rRNA from 1 species